UUGUAAUGGGAAUUUUUUCCAGUCAAGCUCCUGGUUAUAGUGCAGGCCUCAACUAGUUCUGGGUAUAACCUAAGCCUGCCUAUGAGAUGCUUAAU
rnacentral:pre_miRNA from 1 species